GUGCCAGCCGCCGCGGUAAUACGGAAGGUGCGAGCGUUAAUCGGAAUUACUGGGCGUAAAGCGAGCGUAGGCUGUUAAAUAAGUCGAAUGUGAAAUCCCCGGGCUCAACCUGGGAACUGCAUUCGAAACUAUUUGACUAGAGUAUGGGAGAGGAAGGUAGAAUUUCCGGUGUAGCGGUGAAAUGCGUAGAUAUCGGAAGGAAUACCAGUGGCGAAGGCGGCUUUCUGGAACAAUACUGACGCUGAGGUUCGAAAGCGUGGGGAGCAAACAGGAUUAGAUACCCUGGUAGUCCACGCCGUAAACGAUGAGAACUAGACGUUGGAAGGAUUGGCCUUUCAGUGUCGCAGCUAACGCAAUAAGUUCUCCGCCUGGGGAGUACGACCGCAAGGUUGAA
rnacentral:rRNA from 1 species